rnacentral:snoRNA from 1 species
CCCCUCCUCAGGGUCACAUCUGGAGAGUUUCCAGUACUCUACCAGCCUCAACUAUGGGAGGGAGAGUCAAGCAGAGGCAUAUCCAUUCCAUUCCUAGCUUGGGCAGUGGCUACCGAGUGGAAGGCGAUCUGCUACAAGU